UACAGAGGGUGCGAGCGUUGUCCGGAAUCACUGGGCGUAAAGGGCGCGUAGGCGGUGACUUAAGCGUGUGGUGAAAGGCCGGGGCUCAACCCCGGCUCGGCCGUGCGGACUCUCGCGCUUGGUGAGUGCUGUAGAGGCGAGCGGAAUUCCGGGUGUAGCGGUGGAAUGCGUAGAGAUCCGGAAGAACACCGGUGGCGAAGGCGGCCCGCUGGGCAGUGACUGACGCUGAGGCGCGACAGCGUGGGGAGCAAACAGG
rnacentral:rRNA from 1 species